GAAAUGCGAUAAGUAAUGUGAAUUGCAGAAUUCAGUGAAUCAUCGAAUCUUUGAACGCACCUUGCGCUCCUUGGUAUUCCUUGGAGCAUGCCUGUUUGAGUAUCAUGAAAUCUUCAAAGUAAAUCUUUUGUUAACUCAAUUGGUUUCUACUUUGGUAUUGGAGGUCUUUGCAGCUUCACACCUGCUCCUCUUUGUUCAUUAGCUGGAUCUCAGUGUUAUGCUUGGUUCCACUCGGCGUGAUAAGUUAUCUAUCGCUGAGGACACUGUAAAAGGUGGCCAAGGUAAAUGCAGAUGAACCGCUUCUAAUAGUCCAUUGACUUGUACAAUACUUUUAUGAUCUGAUCUCAAAUCAGGUAUGACUACCCGCUGAACUUAAGC
rnacentral:misc_RNA from 1 species